rnacentral:sRNA from 1 species
CGAGGAUGUUACUCCUUGGGUCAGAGGUUACAUAGCACGCAGAAGGAUGAAGCAGAAGAAUGGAACUCAGAACACCACAGUUGC